UAGACAUUCAACGCCGUACAAAGGACAGGAUGCUCAUUAUUUCUCGAGGUUUCGAGAACAUAAAAAUAGCACCCGAGCAUCGUUUUUUCCUAACUCAAUGUGGCAGGAGAAUAAGGAAUGGAAGAUAUCCAAUCAGUAAAUGACGUUAAGUUUUGGUACGUGGCGUGAUUCAGAGGAUGGAGAGGUUGCUUGCACGGAUGUUCAGUACGCUUGCGCCAUGGCUCCGCCUGCCACCUGGAUGAGCCCGAGUGCUGCCGAGUGUUCCCGAGACUUCUGCCGAAGGGCCGCGAUGCCCAGACUGUUGCUGUUAAAGUCAGUGCUGUUGGCGCCUGGAGUAAAAGAGAAAAAAUGAUAAAGUUGAGCCGUCCAUGCUGUACGCAUGCGCAGAUGAUGAGUAGCUGUGCGCAGGCGCGGUGCAGUACGUCUGUGCGGUGUUGUAGGAGUAGGUGUCCGCAGCAGUGCUGCUGUAACAGUCGGUGGACGGGAUGGAGGUGG